rnacentral:tRNA from 1 species
GGCCCUGUAGUUGAAUUACAACAGUGAGUUGCAGCCUUGCGGGUGAAGGUUUUCUUAGUGUUUACUCCUUCCAGGGUCU